rfam:Chishuiella changwenlii strain DSM 27989 genome assembly, contig: Ga0131172_101
AUUCUGCGUUAGGGAUUGAAGUGUAAAUCCUUUUAUGAAAACGGAGAUUAUAGAAGUUUUAAUAAAAGAUUGGAACGUAAAGCCCGACCGAAG